rnacentral:rRNA from 1 species
UACAGAGGGGGCAAGCGUUGUCCGGAAUCAUUGGGCGUAAAGCGCGCGUAGGUGGCCUCAUAAGUCCGCUGUGAAAGUCAAAGGCUCAACCUUUGAAAGCCGGUGGAUACUGUGGGGCUAGAGUACGGAAGAGGCGAGUGGAAUUCCUGGUGUAGCGGUGGAAUGCGCAGAUAUCAGGAGGAACACCAAUAGCGAAGGCAGCUCGCUGGGACGUUACUGACACUGAGGCGCGAAAGCGUGGGGAGCGAACAGG